UAUCCGGAUUUAUUGGGUUUAAAGGGUGCGUAGGCGGUUUGAUAAGUUAGAGGUGAAAUUUCGGGGCUCAACCCUGAACGUGCCUCUAAUACUGUUGAGCUAGAGAGUAGUUGCGGUAGGCGGAAUGUAUGGUGUAGCGGUGAAAUGCUUAGAGAUCAUACAGAACACCGAUUGCGAAGGCAGCUUACCAAACUAUAUCUGACGUUGAGGCACGAAAGCGUGGGGAGCAAACAGGAUUAGAUACCCUGGUAGUCCACGCAGUAAACGAUGAUAACUCGUUGUCGGCGAUACACAGUCGGUGACUAAGCGAAAGCGAUAAGUUAUCCACCUGGGGAGUACGUUCGCAAGAAUGAAACUCAAAGGAAUUGACGGGGGCCCGCACAAGCGGAGGAACAUGUGGUUUAAUUCGAUGAUACGCGAGGAACCUUACCCGGGCUUGAAAGUUAGCGACGAUUCUUGAAAGAGGAUUUCCCUUCGGGGCGCGAAACUAGGUGCUGCAUGGUUGUCGUCAGCUCGUGCCGUGAGGUGUCGGGUUAAGUCCCAUAACGAGCGCAACCCCUACCGUUAGUUGCCAUCAGGUCAAGCUGGGCACUCUGGCGGGACUGCCGGUGUAAGCCGAGAGGAAGGUGGGGAUGACGUCAAAUCAGCACGGCCCUUACG
rnacentral:rRNA from 1 species